rnacentral:rRNA from 1 species
CCUACGGGUGGCUGCAGUGGGGAAUAUUGCACAAUGGGGGAAACCCUGAUGCAGCGACGCCGCGUGAGCGAUGACGUAUUUCGGUAUGUAAAGCUCUAUCAGCAGGGAAGACAAUGACGUUACCUGACUAAGACGCCCCGGCUCACUACGUGCCAGCAGCCGCGGUAGAACGUAGGGUGCAAGCGUUGUACGGAGUUACUGGGUGUAUAGGGAGCGUAGACGGCUUGGCAAGCCAGAUGUGAAAGGCUGGGGCUCAACCCCAGGACUGCAGUUGGAACUGUCAUGCUGGCGUGUCGGAGAGGCAGGCGGAAUUCCUAGGGUAGCGGUGGAAUGAGGAGAUAUUAGGAAGAACACCGGUGGCGAAGGCAGCCCGCUGGACGAUGACUGACGUUGAGGCUCGAAAGCAUGGGGAGCAAACAGGAUUAGAUACCCUGGUAGUC